GCUUCAAGCAGCGGGCAGUCGGACACUUCAAGAAACCUCUGUUCACGUACGGAAGUGAUCCAUACAAUCUGAAGGUGGAGCUCAAUAAGGGGAAACAGGUUACACCAGUCUUCACCUAUGAGGACAUACAGAGUGUGGUGGAGGAUGAGCUGGAGGGAAACGGCUAUUACAGCAGGU